AGUGAACGCUGGCGGUAGGCCUAACACAUGCAAGUCGAACGGCAGCACAGUAAGAGCUUGCUCUUACGGGUGGCGAGUGGCGGACGGGUGAGGAAUACAUCGGAAUCUACUUUUUCGUGGGGGAUAACGUAGGGAAACUUACGCUAAUACCGCAUACGACCUACGGGUGAAAGCAGGUGAUCUUCGGACCUUGCGCGAUCGAAUGAGCCGAUGUCGGAUGAGCUAGUUGGGGGGGUAAAGGCCCACAAAGGCGACGAUCCGUAGCUGGUCUGAGAGGAUGAUCAGCCACACUGGAACUGAGACACGGUCCAGACUCCUACGGGAGGCAGAAGUGGGGAAUAUUGGACAAUGGGCGAAAGCCUGAUCCACCCCUACCGCGUGGGUGAAGAAGGCCUUCGGGUUGUAAAGCCCUUUUGUUGGGAAAGAAAAGCAGCAGGUUAAUACCCCGCUGUUCUGACGGUACCCAAAGAAUAAGCACCGGCUAACUUCGUG
rnacentral:rRNA from 1 species